CUCUUAGUUGUAGGUUCAAUUCCUACUUUUCUA
rnacentral:tRNA from 1 species